UACGGAGGGUGCAAGCGUUGUUCGGAAUUACUGGGCGUAAAGCGCGCGCAGGCGGUUUUCCAAGUCAGUGGUGAAAGCCCGGAGCUCAACUCCGGAAAUGCCAUUGAAACUGUAGAACUUGAGGACGAGAGAGGUGAGUGGAAUUCCCAGUGUAGAGGUGAAAUUCGUAGAUAUUGGGAAGAACACCGGUGGCGAAGGCGGCUCACUGGCUCGUUUCUGACGCUGAGGCACGAAAGCGUGGGGAUCAAACAGG
rnacentral:rRNA from 1 species